UAUUAUUCAGGAGAGAUAUUGAUGAAGAGAAGGAACAAAAAAGAAAAGAAAAGAGUAAAGCUGCUGUAAGCAUGUGCAUCCGCAUGCAUCCACAUCCAUCAAAAUGAACAUAUUGGGUAAGCCCUGAUUUAAAACCUGGCUGUCACUACUACAUUUUAGUAAUUGCGCGACGAAUCCAAUUUCGUCGCGCAGAGUAACAUAUAGUCACACGAAUGCAAGCACGACAUAAAAAUCGUCGCGCGUUAUCUGUCGUGCAAAGAUCGUGAAGAAAGACUUUGCGCGACCGAUUCUAUCACUCGUCGCGCAAUUUUGUGCGACGGUUAUCCUUCGUUACACAAAAGGUUCAGAGA
rnacentral:lncRNA from 1 species